AGUUUGAUUCUAGCUAAUAAAUUUAUUAAAUUCAUAUUUAUACAUGCAAAAAUUUUUACUCCCAUAAUAUUCUAUUCAAUAUAUUUUAAAUACAUAUAUAUAUAUUUAUGCCUGCAGUAAUUAAUACUAGAUAAACUAUAAAUGUAAGUUCUGGUAAAAAUUUUAAAGUUGGUAAAAUUCGUGCCAGCUACCGCGGUUAUACGAUAAACUUAAAUAAAUUUCCUUAGAAAAAUGAUUUUUACAAUCUUGAUAUAUUAUAAAUAAUUAAAAGUUUAAUCUUAAAAUUUUAUUUUUCUUUUUAUAUCUUUUUUUUUUAUUUCAUGAAAGUUUACUUAAAAACAAGGAUUAGAUACCCUUUUAUUUUAAACCUUAAAUAACUCUAGAGAACUACAAAUACAUAUUUAAAACUCAAAGAACUUGGCAGUACUUUAUCUAAUUAGGGGAACCUGUAUUUUAAUCCGACAAUCCACGUUAAUCUUACCUUAAUUUGAAACUUUCAACUUGUAUACUGCCGUCAUCAGUUUAUCAUCUAAAUGCUAAUAAACCUAAUAAUAUAUAAUUUUUAUGUCAGGUCCUAGUACAGUUUAUAUUAAGGCUAAUAUGGGUUACAUUUUUAACUAAAUUUUAGACUUUAAAUGAAAAUUAUAAUAAAAACGAACUUAAUAGUAAUUUUAUUAACUUAAAUAAAAUGAAUAAUGAUACCUAAAGUAUGUACAUAUCGCCCGUCACUCUUUUUGAAAAAAAAGAUAAGUCGAAACAUAGUAGGUGUAAUGGAAAUUGUGCCU
rnacentral:ncRNA from 1 species